rnacentral:rRNA from 1 species
UACGUAGGUGGCAAGCGUUGUCCGGAUUUAUUGGGUUUAAAGGGUGCGUAGGCGGCCUUGUAAGUCAGUGGUGAAAUACUCUAGCUUAACUAGAGGGGUGCCAAUGAUACUGCAGGGCUUGAGUACAGAUGAGGUAGGCGGAAUUGACGGUGUAGCGGUGAAAUGCAUAGAUAUCGUCAAGAACACCUAUAGCGAAGGCAGCUUACUGGGCUGUAACUGUCGCUGAGGCACGAAAGUGUGGGGAUCAAACAGG